UACGUAGGGUGCGAGCGUUGUCCAGAAUUACUGGGCGUAAAGAGCUCGUAGGUGGUUUGUCGCGUUGUUCGUGAAAACCGGGGGCUUAACCCUCGGCGUGCGGGCGAUACGGGCAGACUUGAGUACUGCAGGGGAGACUGGAAUUCCUGGUGUAGCGGUGGAAUGCGCAGAUAUCAGGAGGAACACCGGUGGCGAAGGCGGGUCUCUGGGCAGUAACUGACGCUGAGGAGCGAAAGCGUGGGGAGCGAACAGG
rnacentral:rRNA from 1 species